rnacentral:miRNA from 1 species
UAGCCAAGGAGACUGCCUAUG